GCCAGCCAAUGCUCCAGAGACAAAAUGUGACUUCUAAAGGUGGCUAUGGAAUAUUUUUAGCAGAACCAAAUGUGGGCAUGCCUUGUGUUGCUGCACUUGCCUUACUGCCCUUUGCAGAUAUUGUGUAUUUCACAAAGUGAAGGUUUGUGGCAACGCUGUAUCCAGCAAGUCCAUUGGUUCCCUUUUCCCAACAGCAUGUGCUCACAUCACGUCUCUGAGUCACAUUUUGGAAAUUCUUGGAAUAUUUUAAACAUUAUUAUUCUAUGUGUAUAGCCAUCUGCGAUCAGUGAUCUUUGUCUUAGCUGUUUUGGGGAGCCACCAGCCAUGCCCAUAGGACUUAAAUGAUAAAUGUUGUGUGUGUUCUGACUUCUCUAUCAGCUCCUCCCCAUCUCUCUCCCUCUCCUUGAACCUUCCUAUUCCCUAAGACAUGACAAUAUUGAGAUUAGGCCAAUUGCUAAUGCGGAGGUGGCCUCUAAAUGUACAAGUGAGAGGAAGAGUCACAUGCCUCUCACUUGAAAUCGAAAGCUAAUAAUGACUAAGCUUAGCGAGGAAGGUAUGUUGAAAGCUGAGAUAGGUCAAACGCUGGGCCUCUUGCAACAAACAGCCAAGGUGUGAAUGCAAAGGAAAAGUCAUUGAAGAACAUUAGGCAUGCCACUCCAGUGAAUUCAUGAAUUAUAAGAAAGAAAGAGCCUUAUUGCUGAUAUGGAGAAAGUCUGAGUGGUCUGGAUGCUUCCACUCAUCCACCAGCCACAACAUUCCCUUAAGCCAAAGCCUAAUCCCUAACUUCCUUUAAUUCUUUAAAGGCUAAAAGAGGUGAGGAAGGUGCAGAAGAAAAGUGUGAAGCCAGCAGAGGUUGGUUCAUGAGGUUUAAGGAAAGAAGCUGUUUCCAUAACUUAAAAGUGCAAGGUGAAGCAGCAAGUUAUCCAGAAGCUCUAGUUAAGAUCACUGAUAAAGAUGGCUACCCUGGACAAUGGCAGAGUUGCAGUAGCCUCCUAUUGGAAGAAGAGGCCAUCUAGGAUUUGCAUAGCUAGAGUGAAGUCAAAUUCUGGCUUCUUCAAAGAACAGGCUGACUCUCUCGUUAGGGGUUAAUGCAGCUUGUGACUUCAAGUUGAAACCAACGUUAGUUUACCAUUCUGAAAAUCCUGAGGCCCUUAAGAAUUAGGCUAAAUCUACUCUGCCUGUGCUGUGUAACUGGAAGAACAAAGUCUGGAUGACAGCUCAUCAGUUUACAGCAUGGCUUACUGAAUAUUUUAAGUCCACUGUUGAACUUACUACACAGAAAAAAGGAUUUCUUUCAGAGUAUCACUGCUCAUUGACACUGCACAUUGUCACCCAGGAGCUCUGAUGGAGCUGUACGAGUAGUUUCAUGUUGUUUUCAUGCCUGCUAACACAGCAUCCAUCUACAACCCAUGGAUUGAAGAGUAAUUUCAUCUUUCAAGUCUUAUUAUUUAAGAAAUAGGGCCAGGCACUGUGGCUCAUGCCUAUAAUCCUGACACUUUGGGAGGCCAAGGCAGAAGACCACUGGAGGCCAGGAGUUGAAGGCCAGCCUGCUCAACAUAGCAAGAUCCUGUCUCUACAAUAAUAAUAAUAAUUAGCUGGGUGCGAUGGUGUAUGCCUGUAGUCCCAGGUACAUGGGAGGCUACAGUGGCAAGAUCGUUUGAGCCCAGGAGUUCUAGGCUUCACUGAACUAUGUUCAUGCCACUGCACCCUAGCCUGGGCAAUAGAGUGAGACUUGAAACUAAAAAAAAAAAGAAAUCUAGGCUUCUAGCGACCAAAGUAUACUGAAAACCUUCUGGAAAGGAUUCAACCUUCUAGAUGCCAUUAAGAACAUUCAUGACUCAUAAGAAGUCAAAAUGUCAACAUUAACAGGAGUUUAGAAGAAGUGGAUUCCAACCCUCAUGGAUGACUUUGAGAGGUUCAAGGCUUCAGUGGAGGAAGUCACUGCAGAUGUGGUAAGAAUAUAAAGGGGAAAUUAAAGAGGAGCCUGUGAAGACAUGACAAUUGCUACAAUCUCAUUAUCAAAUUUGAAUGAACGACGGUUGCUUCUUAUGAAUGAACAAGGAAAGUGGUUUCUUGAGAUGGAAUCUACUCCUGGUGAAGAUGUUGUAAACAUUGCUAAAAUGACAACAAAGUAUUUAGAAUAUUAUGUAAACUGAGUUGAUAACACAGUGGCCGAUUUGAGAGGGUUGACUCAAAUUUUGAAAGAAGUUCUGUGGAUAAAUGCCAUCAAACAAUGUCACAUGCUACAGAGAAAUCUUUCAUGAAAGGAAGAGUCAACAGACACAGCAAACUUUACCAUGGUCUUAUUUUAAGAAAUUGCGACAGCCUCCCCAACCUUCAGCAACCACCACCCUGACUGGUCAGCUGCAAUCCACCUUGAGGCAAGAUCCUCUACCAGGAAAAAGAUUGUGACUCGCUGAAGAUUCAGAUGAUCAUUAUCAUUUCUUAGCAAUAAGGUAUUUUUAAAUUAAGGUGGAAAUUUUGGCCUGGGGGAGCUGACCUGAUCAACACUUCUUCAGUUCAUGGAUGCUACUAACCAGUGCUACAGAAGGAUGAGAACACUGUAGAACGAUUUGUACUUCCACGGUUUCUGCUGUGUGAGUACUACGUGCGGGGGUUGGACCGGCUGCAGGAAGAGUGGGUACGAUACCUGCAAGCCACCCUCUGGCUUUCGUAAUGGCUACUCCACUUGAAACUGUCUCUCAGCAAUUUGGGUGCUUUCUUUCUUUUCUGGUCCCCCUAAAACACAAAACUGUAUUACAUCUUCAGGCCGCAUGCUUUUAUAUAAAACAGAGCUGUCACUGGAUUUUACUGAAAAGUUGAUUUAUUUCUGAGGAUCAUGGGAGUCUAAGCAUGAAACUGGCAUCUGGCAAGAGGGAGAGAGAGAGCCUUUGACCUAGAAGCAGAGGCAGCUUCCAAGCUGUGCUGGCACGUAAGAGAACAGGGUACUUGUAGCAAAAAUCAUGGCCUCAAACUUUCUAGGGGAAAAAUCCUAAAGCCGCCCUCCAAAAAGGAAAGCUAAAAUCAAUAGCUUACAUUUUUUACUCUCUCAAACAAGCAAUAUUUAACCGUUCUAUACAAAGCAAUGCUUUAAAUCUAGCUUUUGUUUUUAUGUCAACAGAGCUUGAACUCUUAAAAUGGAAUCUUGAUAUCAAUCUAUUUCUUUAAAUCAGCCAAGCAGGCCCUCAUUUGGUAACUCUCUGAAAGUCUGUGUGAAUGUGUAGUAAACGUAAUUUUUUUUCUUUUUUCUUUUUUUUCCUGAGGCCUUGAGCUGUAAUUAUUAAAGUUUCAAAUGUCCCCAGUGAUCUUAGCUAGAUAAUCAAAUUUGGAUCAUAAGAAUGAAAUAACUUAAAGUGUGCCUUCAUUACUGCUCUACUGAAAAUAAUGCAGUUAAUAUCAUUCUUACCCUCCUCCACCUCCAAAUCCAUUACUAGACCAUGGAGAUAGACAGUAAAUUUCUAAGAACAUUCAAAAUGAUAAAAUUAAUUCUCAAAACAAAAAUUUCCAUAUGUAUAUCUAACACGUAGAAUUUUUUUGCCACCACAAAAAUAAGGCCAGGUGCAAUGGCUCACACCUGUAAUCCCAACACUUAGGGAAGCCAAGGCAGGAGGAUUGUUUGAGCCCAAGAGUUCAAGACCAGCCUCAGUAACAAUAAUGACACUCCCAUCUCUACAAAAAAGAAAAAAAUAUUAGCGAGGUGUGGUGGUGCAUGUCUGUAGUCCCAGCUACUUCAGAGGCUGAGGCAGGAAGGUUGCUUGAGUCCAGGAGUUUGAGGCUGUAGUGAGCCAGGAUCAUGCCCCUGCACUCCAGCCUGGGUGACAGAGCAAGACACUGUCUCAAAAACAACAGAAACAACAAUAACAAAAGUAGCAUAAAAUAUUCCUGAAAUAUUUUGCAAAACAACAAAGCAAAAUGUUGACUAGAAUUGCAAAAGUUAAGAGACCUUACUGCCAAACGAGCUAUUGAAGAGCUUACCGAUUAACUUUCUAGAAAACAGGAAAGAACACUCUUCAAAAACAGCUGAUUGAGAAGAGUUUUUAUUAAUGAACUACAUCUGUAUCCACCGGAAAAGUUAUCUAUGAAUAUAUAAGUAAUACUGAACAAAGAAUAUAUUUAGUCUUGUAGAAACUUAUACCAUGUGAAAUCAAGAUUUCAUCCAAUUGAGCAGUACUAAAGUUUUUGUUAUCCUUUCGUUUACUAAAAAGAUAAAAGUCUCCUUUCCUCCCACUUACCUCUCUCUCCAAAAGAGGCUGGGAGAAGUUCUUAGACCAGGAAGGCACGGGGUGGGAAGUAAUUGUGUAAGUCUCCCAGUCUCCUCUGCCAAUGCUUUUUAAUCCUUAUCCACCAAUCUUCCCUGGUAUUUCAUGAAAAGAGGAUCCCAGCUGUGACAAAUAGUAUGGUAGCUAUAUAAUCUAGACAACCAACAGGGGUUUAGGACAGAAAUUAACAAAUCUAUUUUAGCUUGAAACCUUACUUGUAAAGAAUAACAACCAGUUUCCCAAACAUCUACAGACCAGACAGAAACACCAUCAUCUUGCUUCAUAAGAACCCAAGCACGAGGGCUGCCAUGAUUGAGGUCUUCUAGAAUUGGGUUUUGCUCAUCACAGCAGUGUCCACCUUCAAUGAGGGCUAGAGGAGAGCAAACACAGGACUAGGAGGGCGACAUCUUAGGUUCCAGUGCUGAAUUUGCCAUGAAUUAGUUGUAUGAUCUUUGCCAAUUUCCUGCAACUCUUUGGCUCAGAUUCCUGUCUAUAAAAUGAAAAAAAAAAAAAAAAAAAAAGGAACUAGAUUCUGUAAGGAUCCUUCCAGUUCUAACAAAAUGGUAUUGCAUAGCUAUAUUUUUUACACUGUAAGUAAGUAACAGGCGACCCUCUCCUCGUUAUUCUGCAUCCAGUUAGAUUCAUCAAUACUUUUUUUUGUUUUUUGUUUUCUGCAGAUGCACUAAGAGAUGGUGUCGGGUUUGGGAACCUAACUCAUUCCUGGUACCAAUCACUGGUCACUUCUCAGAUGUGGAGUCAACUCAAUGUGCUUUCGUGUCCUACCUCCUUAGAUUCUUGUAGAACAACCCAUUUUCUGGCACUGGAAUUCCCAUUACAUUCCAUGGGAACAUUAUUUCACAACUGAAAGUGUGAGGAAGACACGGUGAAGAGCUCUGGGCUGCCACGUGUGUUUGUGAUACUCCCUGGAGGACUCAGAAUUCAUUAAUCGACGGCUCUCACUCUCUUUAACCUUUGAGAGUUAUCAUAUGCAUAGUGUCAACAUUUAAUAAUUUUUUUUUUUGAGACAGAUUCUUGCUCUAUUGCCCAGGCUGGAGUGCAGUGGCACAAUCUCAGCUCACUGCAACCUCCGCCUCCCAGGUUCAAGUGAUCCUCCUGCCUCAGCCUCCUGAGUAGCUAGGAUUACAGGCACCCACCACCAAGCCUGGCUAAUUUUUCUAUUUUUUUUUUUUUAGUAGAGAUGGGGUUUUUCCAUGUUGGGCAGACUGGUCUCGAACUCCUGACCUCAGGUGAUCUGCCCACCUCAGACUCCCAAAGUGCUGGAAUUAAAGGUGUGUGCCACCAUGUCUGGCCUACAUUUAAAAAUUUUAACUAGGGCUUGGAGGGCAAUUUGAGAUAGUAUGUUGCAAAACAUCACCAAUGAGACCUGGCAUGUGAGAGAAUUUUCCUGCACUAAGAAGGACAGCAGAUGCCACAUAGAGGAGCUGCAAACUGGGAGCAAACCCACUACACCCUACUAUGAGCCUUUCCUGUUUUGUCAGCUAGCAUGGUUUCCUAAAUCUCAGAUUGCAGCAGAACUGUUCUGCAAUUCCAUGGCUGGCUAUUUCGGGAGCCUAACACAGCAGGACAAAUGUGCACAAGUCCACACAGUAUGACAGAAGAAUUAAAAAUGUAUUUACCAUCUGUUGGUAGUUUCCUUGCGGGUCCCUUUUCUUUUCCUCUCCUGCAGCCACAAAUAGGGUCUUCUCACUUCCUUCCAACUUCAGAAAGCUGGGUUCUCUUCACAUCUCUGCAAAUGCAGGACUUGGAUGUUUUUUUUUUUCUUUUUUCUUCUUCAAAUUUCCCAGACUGUUGAACUCUGGUCUAUUUCAGCUUCUAGAAUCAUUUCCCUCAAAUGCAAAGAGGAGUGAGGCUGUGGAGAGGUUAUAGCGUUUUGCACAUUUUGUGUGGCCAGGCUACUUUCAGACACUGUGCUUUGAUUGUGGUCAAAGAGGAUUCUGGGAAGCUUGUGGGAUCCCAGCGUAACUGAAGGAAAUUAAGUCAUUAAAUAAGGCCUGAGAAUUCAUGUUGGCCUUUUAUGAUCUCCUUUGUCCUUACCGUAAUGGGAUGCUUUAGACAGGGUUUUAAUAGGAAAGGGUUCUAGGAAUUCAAGCAGGAACUUCCAGUGAGAGUCACUUCCAGCCCACAUCGUAGCAUGAGUAAAAAUUAUAAGCUGGAAUAUAAUUUUGUUAGUUGGGACACCACUUAGGUUGAUCUGAAGCCAAUUCGCUUAUGGAGAAAUACUCAGUUCUCAAUAAGCAUCACUAGCUUUAACUUCUGUGAUAUAGGUGUUAUUCAUAAUUCAUGAAUAAUCCAAAAACUAGAGAUUGGUAUUAAAAAUGGUCUCUUAGCCAAAAGAUUGCAAUGCAGUGUUAUGACUCUAACUGUCCUAUUUCAUCCGGGUAAUGACUUGCUAACAAUUCUCAGGCUGCAUAGGUGGAUAACUUCACUUUGAAACCAGUGCUGGAUGACCUUGAACUUUGGUGAGGUCCAUUACACUGCAAGCCUUGGUUUAAUCACCCAGUAAGUGAGAAUCAUGGUCUCUAUCUCACAGUCUCCUCUUGGGGAUGAAAUGAAAUGACAUCUGCAAAGCCUGAAUGUGAGACUCAGCUCAUUCCAAUUCAGCCUUAACAGUCAUGGCAGACGCAAAGGCAAAGGUCAAGUGAAGAGAGUAUGUAUUAUACCAUAGCGUGGACUACAUGGCUUAGUUUUGGAUUAGCUCCUAAUAAGAUAAUCAUUGUGUUGAGGCUGAUAGAACUUUGCACGUAGUAGGUUUUGGAAAAUAUUAUUGAUUACUUCAUUUAAUAGUCAAUGCCUAUUUAGUGGGUGUCUAUCAUAUGCCAAGAACUAUUGUAGAAGAAUGAGACAGUAAAAAAAAAAAAAAUCUGCCCUCCUGACAAUAAACAAACAAAAAAAACUAGAUGGCAUAGAGUCUUAUAAGAUGAUACACGUAUGGGAUAAAUGAGCAGGGCAGCGGGGACCAGGAAAGUCAGGGAGCAGAGUUUUCAGUAGGGUGUUCACAGCAGGCUUCAUUAGGAAGUUAAUUCUUAGAAAAAAAGAAGUGGGGCUGGGUGCAGUGGCUCGCACUUGUAAUCCCAGCACUUUGGGAGGCUGAGGCAGGCAGAUCAUGAGGUCAAGAGAUGGAGACCAUCCUGGCCAACAUGGUGAAACCCUGUCUUUACUAAAAAAUACAAAAAUUAGCUGGGUGUGGUGGUGUGUGCUUAUAGUCCCAGCUACUCAGGAAGCUGAGGCAGGAGAAUUGCUUGAACCCGGGAGGUGGAGGUUGCAGUGAGUCGAAAUCAUGCCACUGCACUCCAGCCUGGCAUCUGGUGACAGAGCCAGACUCUGCCUCAAAAAAAAAAAAAAAACCUAGAUCGAGACCAUCGUGGUCAACAUGGUGAAACCCUGUCUCUACCAAAAAUACAAAAAUUAGCUGGGCAUGAUGGCACAUGCCUGUAGGCCCAGGUACUCGGAAGGCUGAGACAAGAGAAUCACAACCUGGGAGGCAGAGGGUGCAGUGAGCCAAGAGCAUGCCAUUGCACUCCAGCAUGGUGACAAAGCAAGACAGUCUUAAAAAAAAAAAAGAAAAGAAAAAAAGAACGUGAACAAGGUGAAGAAGUGAACCAUGUGAACACUAGAGGGAAAAGCAUUUCAAGCCGAGGGAACAGCAAAUACAAAGACCCUGAGGCAAGAGAACAGUUGGCUUGUCUGAGGACCAGCAAAGAGGAUAGUGAGCCUGGUGAUGUGGGAGCAGGCACGGUGAGAGAUGAGAUGAGAAGAGCUGAGGACCUAUCAAGGGUAGCCCUGCCAGCCACGAGGGGCUUUUACCUGACUAUGGGGUAGCCCUUGGGCACCACUGAGCAGAGCUGUGGCAUCAACCAAUGCUGAGAGUAAAGUGUGGUGUGGGCUGGUAACUGGGGAAGCAAGGGCCAACUUCGGAGGCUGCCGCAGUAACCCUGAUCUUCAUCAGUGGUGGUUUAACACCAGUGGUAGCAGUCCCAGGGCUGAAAAAUGGUCAGAUUCUGGAUAUGUUUUGAAGGUAGAUCUAAUUUGAUUUUUGGCAAAUUGGAUGUGGGGUCUCAACAACAGAGUCAAGAUCCCGCCAAUGGUUCUGGGCUUGAACAGGUGGAAAAAUGGAGUUGCCAUUUUCUGAGAUUUGCAUAUAAGAACUGUGUUCUCUAUCUCAAGAGGACUUCCUUGGUAUUCUGGCUUGAGUGCGAGCCCUCGCCUUCCACCCGCUGAGGGAAACUUCUUGAAACAAAUGAAUUUCUAGUUGCUUUUUGGAAAAGGAGAACCAGAAAGACCAAGGUCUUCAUAAGCACUUUGAUAACACUCAAAUAGAUGGGCGCUGUGACUCACGCCUGUAAUCCCAGCACUUUGGGAGGCCCAGGUGGGUAGAUCACGAGGUCAAGAGAUAGAAACCAUCCUGGUCAACAUGGUGAAACCCCAUUUCUACUAAAAUACAAAAAUUAGGUGGGCCUGGUGGUGGGGGCCUGUGGUCCCAGCUGCUAGGGAGGCUGAGGUAGGAGAAUCGCUUGAACCUGGGAGGCAGAGGUUGCAGUGAGCUGAGAUCGCGCCACUGCACUCCAGCCCGGAGACAGAGUGAGACUCUGUCUCAAAAAAUUAUUUAAAUAAUAAAUAAAUAGACAGUAAAAGAAAGCCAAACAGUUAGCAUUGUAUUUCCUCAAUGUCAAAUUCAUUUAGUUUUUUCUAAAUGAAUUUAGUUUUUUCUUCUUCACGCCAACCCCACAGGCUGGAAGACCAAUUCGGCAGAGGGAAGCUGCUGGUGCAUCGGGCUCCCAGCAGAGGGAGCUAAGGAGGGCGGAGGAGGACGUGGACACCAGCUGAGGACCUGUGCAGGAGUGUCAUGUACUUGUGCUCUCUGAGGCCUGGGGCCAGAAGCCAGAUGUUUUUCCGGCCUGUAACAGAUCUACCAGUGAGAUCACGCAUUCACCGACAGUCUACUCUCAGUGAUCAUUAUUACAAACCACGAUAAGGUCUGUGUUACACAGUGCAAGGGAGAAACAUGAGGAAGGUAGAAAAAUAAGUUAUUCACGACAUUGCUGUGGAUUCUAAGGUCUCAAACUGCAGGUACUUAGAACCAAUUACUGUGCCUCCUCAGCCCCAAUAUCUGUACCAGUGUUGUUCAUUAGAAAUGAAAUACACAACCUUUCCACACAUGUGAUAUUAAACUUUAUAGUAGCCACAUUAAGAAAAGUGAAAAGAGGCUGGGUGUGGUGUAAUCUCAGCAUUUUGGGAGGCCAAGGCCCAGAAGUUCAAUAGCAGCCUGGGCAACAUGGCGAAACUCCAUCUCUGCAAAAGACACAAAAAUUAGCUGGGCAUAGUGGCAUGCCUGUAGUCCCAGCUACUCAGGAGGCUGAGGUGGAAGGAUCACAAGCCCAGGAGGCAGAGGUUGCAGGGAGCAGAGACUUCACUGCUGCACUGCACUCCAGCCUGGGUGACAGACUUAGACCCUGUCUCAAAAAAAAAAAAAAAAAGUAAAAAAAGAAACAGGUAAAACAAAGUUUAAUAUUUUGUUUAACCCAAUAUAUGCUAUUAAAAAAUAACCCAAUAUUUUCAUUUCAA